UUCCUGUAGCUCGCAGCCAUAGAGCAGGGCCCUGUGCAUAGUAGGUGCUCCAGACGUGUUCGGUGAAGGAGUGAGUGAAGGAUUUAACCCCUCUGGGCCUAUUGUUCUCAUUUGGGAAAUGGGGAUAAUAGUAGCACUCGAUAUUAAUAUAUAUAACAACUAGUGUCAAAAUGCAGGCACAGGUCUUAACUACCCACGGUGCCCUUUAGGUUCUUCCUGUUCGGCGAGAGCGUGGCUUCAGGAUGUGCAGCUGCUGACAAAGGGGACGGAUAAAGCCACCCCAGUUAUGGCCUCUCAGGGAUCAAGCUCCUCCCACCAGCUAAUUUUUCACCCUUAUCUGUCCCUAUUGGGCAGCACUCCCAGAGCACGGCCGGGGAGCCUGCCACAGCUGGGACGCAGCCGCUCCGACGUGCAGAGCUCUCACGGCGUCCCGGGGCUGCAGCCGAGCCAAGGGCCCGGCUCCACAGCUGCACACUCGCAGCAGCUGGAGACACCCAAACGCCCGCAUGCCCCUCGCCGGAGCCGUGGCCGAGGGCAGGACACGCUUCCAAGCCAGGGCACCGGCAAAGCCUGGGACCGCGACAGGCGACUCAAAGAUUACACCGCGCUCCGCCACCCUCGACCGCGCACCCGCACGGGCCGCCGC